rnacentral:rRNA from 1 species
AGGACGAACGCUGGCGGCGUGCUUAACACAUGCAAGUCGAGCGGAAAGGCCCUUCGGGGUACUCGAGCGGCGAACGGGUGAGUAACACGUGAGCAACCUGCCCUUAGCUUCGGGAUAGCUCCGGGAAACCGGAAUUAAUACCGGAUAUUACGUAGGCCGACAUCGGCCAUCGUGGAAAGUUUUUCGGCUAGGGAUGGACUCGCGGCCUAUCAGCUAGUUGGUGAGGUAACGGCUCACCAAGGCGACGACGGGUAGCCGGCCUGAGAGGGCGACCGGCCACACUGGGACUGAGACACGGCCCAGACUCCUACGGGAGGCAGCAGUGGGGAAUAUUGCGCAAUGGGCGAAAGCCUGACGCAGCGACGCCGCGUGGGGGAUGAAGGCCUUCGGGUUGUAAACCCUUCAGCAGGGACGAAGCGCAAGUGACGGUACCUGCAGAAGAAGCGCCGGCUAACUACGUGCCAGCAGCCGC